rnacentral:rRNA from 1 species
CAGCGCCGCGGGAAUACGUAGGGGGCAAGCGUUGUCCGGAAUUAUUGGGCGUAAAGCGCGCGCAGGCGGUUCUUUAAGUCUGGUGUAUAAGUGCGGGGCUCAACCCCGUGAGGCACUGGAAACUGGGGAACUUGAGUGCAGAAGAGGAGAGCGGAAUUCCACGUGUAGCGGUGAAAUGCGUAGAGAUGUGGAGGAACACCAGUGGCGAAGGCGGCUCUCUGGACUGUAACUGACGCUGAGGCGCGAAAGCGUGGGGAGCAAACAGGAUUAGAUACCCCAGUAGUCCCUGUCUCUUAUACAC